rnacentral:rRNA from 1 species
UACGUAGGGGCGAGCGUUGUCCGGAAUUAUUGGGCGUAAAGAGCUCGUAGGCGGCUCAGCAAGUCGGCUGUGAAAUCCCGAGGCUCAACCUCGGAACUGCAGUCGAUACUGCUGUGGCUAGAGUCUGGUAGAGGAGAGUGGAAUUCCCGGUGUAGCGGUGAAAUGCGCAGAUAUCGGGAGGAACACCAGUAGCGAAGGCGGCUCUCUGGGCCAGUACUGACGCUGAGGAGCGAAAGCGUGGGGAGCAAACAGGAUUA